GGGGGGAGGCCAGUUCCUGGGCUGUGUUCCCUGGGCCCUGUGCUCCCUGGUCUGCGCUGUUGGAAUUGCGCUCUGGGCCGGGCAGCCCCCU
rnacentral:pre_miRNA from 1 species